rnacentral:rRNA from 1 species
AAUGAACGUUGGCGGCAUGGAUUAGGCAUGCAAGUCGAGCGCAAAGCGUAGCAAUACGUGGAAAGCGGCGAAAGGGAGAGGAACAAAUGGGAACCUACCUCGGGGCCUGGAAUAGCGGCGGGAAACUGCCGGUAAUGCCAGAUGAUGUCUCCGGACCAAAGGCUUGCCACCCUGAGACGGGCCCAUUUCCUAUCAGCUAGAUGGUGAGGUAACGGCUCACCAUGGCUAAGACGGGUACGGGGUGUGAGAGCAUGCCCCCGCUCACUGGGACUGAGACACUGCCCAGACACCUACGGGUGGCUGCAGUCGAGAAUCUUCGGCAAUGGGCGCAAGCCUGACCGAGCAAUGCCGCGUGCGGGAUGCAGGCCUUCGGGUUGUAAACCGCUGUCGAGGGGGAUUAAGAGAAAUUUGAAUGAUCCCUGGAGGAAGGGUCGGCUAAUCUCGUGCCAGCCGCC